rnacentral:rRNA from 1 species
GAGUAAUAUAUCGGAACGUGCCCAGUAGCGGGGGAUAACUACUCGAAAGAGUGGCUAAAACCGCAUACGCCCUACGGGGGAAAGGGGGGGAUCGCAAGACCUCUCACUAUUGGAGCGGCCGAUAUCGGAUUAGCUAGUUGGUGGGGUAAAGGCUCACCAAGGCAACGAUCCGUAGCUGGUUUGAGAGGACGACCAGCCACACUGGGACUGAGACACGGCCCAGACUCCUACGGGAGGCAGCAGUGGGGAAUUUUGGACAAUGGGGGAAACCCUGAUCCAGCCAUCCCGCGUGUAUGAUGAAGGCCUUCGGGUUGUAAAGUACUUUUGGCAGAGAAGAAAAGGCAUCCCCUAAUACGGGAUGCUGCUGACGGUAUCUGCAGAAUAAGCACCGGCUAACUACGUGCCAGCAGCCGCGGUAAUACGUAGGGUGCAAGCGUUAAUCGGAAUUACUGGGCGUAAAGCGUGUGUAGGCGGUUCGGAAAGAAAGAUGUGAAAUCCCAGGGCUCAACCUUGGAACUGCAUUUUUAACUGCCGAGCUAGAGUAUGUCAGAGGGGGGUAGAAUUCCACGUGUAGCAGUGAAAUGCGUAGAUAUGUGGAGGAAUACCGAUGGCGAAGGCAGCCCCCUGGGAUAAUACUGACGCUCAGACACGAAAGCGUGGGGAGCAAACAGGAUUAGAUACCCUGGUAGUCCACGCCCUAAACGAUGUCAACUAGCUGUUGGGGCCGUUAGGCCUUAGUAGCGCAGCUAACGCGUGAAGUUGACCGCCUGGGGAGUACGGUCGCAAGAUUAAAACUCAAAGGAAUUGACGGGGACCCGCACAAGCGGUGGAUGAUGUGGAUUAAUUCGAUGCAACGCGAAAAACCUUACCUACCCUUGACAUGUCUGGAAUGCC